rnacentral:rRNA from 1 species
GAUGAACGCUGACAGAAUGCUUAACACAUGCAAGUCAACUUGAACUUCGGUUUGGGUGGCGGACGGGUGAGUAACGCGUAAAGAACUUGCCUCACAGAUAGGGACAACAUUUGGAAACGAAUGCUAAUACCUGAUAUUAUGAUUUUAGGGCAUCCUAGGAUUAUGAAAGCUAUAUGCGCUGUGAGAGAGCUUUGCGUCCCAUUAGCUAGUUGGAGAGGUAACGGCUCACCAAGGCGAUGAUGGGUAGCCGGCCUGAGAGGGUGAUCGGCCACAAGGGGACUGAGACACGGCCCUUACUCCUACGGGAGGCAGCAGUGGGGAAUAUUGGACAAUAGUCCAAGAGUCUGAUCCAGCAAUUCUGUGUGAACGAUGAAGUUUUUCGGAAUGUAAAGUGCUUUCAGUUGGGAAGAAAAAAAUGACGGUACCAACAGAAGAAGUGACGGCUAAAUACGUG